rnacentral:rRNA from 1 species
UACAGAGGUCUCAAGCGUUGUUCGGAUUCAUUGGGCGUAAAGGGUGCGUAGGUGGGUAGGAAAGUCAGUGGUGAAAUCUUCGGGCUUAACCCGGAAACUGCCAUUGAUACUAUUUAUCUUGAAUACUUUGGAGGUAAGCGGAAUAUGUCAUGUAGCGGUGAAAUGCUUAGAUAUGACAUAGAACACCAAUUGCGAAGGCAGCUUACUACACAGUUAUUGACACUGAGGCACGAAAGCGUGGGGAUCAAACAGG